rnacentral:lncRNA from 1 species
UCUAUUUUUUUUUUGUCUGUUCAUUUUAAAAUUCAAAAACAGAGCAUAAAGGUUAAAUCAAUAAUUUUUGACGUCUGCUCUCUUAAACUCUUAUGACUCAUUAGUCCUUUCACCAGAUGAAAUAUGAUCUCUCAUAUCCCCCCAAACAUCUCUUUUCUAGCUAAGCUAAUCUCAAAUCUCACACUUUCUAGUUCAUCCCUCAUCUCUCACUCUCUCUAGUUCAUCUCUCAUCUCUCACUCUCUAGCACUUUGGCCUAACCCAAAACCCCUUCACUGAUUUCACGGCCGACCCUUUUGUCGCCGCACCAUAUGCUGUCGGAGCAAAGGUAGAAAUCGAAUUGCGGAUGAUCAACGAUUGAGAUGUGAGGGUCAGAAAAGAUAGAAAUUAAAGUUUUGGGAUGUGGGUUUGGUGAAGAGAAUGGAUUUAACUAUUGGUAUGUGAUAUAUGUGUAUGUAGUCUAGACUCUAGAGAUGGGUGUUCUAAAAUCUAAACACAAUAUACAUAUAUGUGGUUUGGUUAAGCUAUUCCGAAUGGGUUUAGCUACUGGCAUACAUGUAUAUAUAUAUGUAUAAACUAAUCAAGCUAUUGUUGUGUAAAAUAUAUAUGUAUAUAGUCUAGACAGGGAAGCAGGGGUUUUUAGAGAGAGAUAUGGAGAUUAGAAUUUAGAGACACAUGAGGAGGAUUGGGAUUAAGGCAUUAAUGAAACCUUCAUUUCGGUUAUUAAUUGAAUAAUCGAAUAAGGAAUUCAAUUAUUCGGUAUUCGAUAAUUCGGUUAUCUCCAAAUUCGGUUAACAGUUUGAUAUUAAAAUUGUGAUCAUUUCAGUUUUUGGUUAUAAUCGAAUAAGCUAUUCGAUUCGGUUAUAACCGAAUGCUCAGCCCUAGUCCCUUUGUUUAAUUUAACACGAGAAUCACCAUAUAUAUAUACACACAAAAAGUCAGCAGUCAUGAAAAUUUGGGAAGUUAAAAAAACAUGACUGUCGCUACAGCAUGUAGCGGGAAGGAGGAAUUAACCAAGCUUGCAAAUUUAAAUUUUAAGGGGGCAAUUAUGUAAUUGCGAAUAACUUUUUGAAAUUUAG